AGUGAACGCUGGCGGUAGGCCUAACACAUGCAAGUCGAACGGCAGCACAGUAAGAGCUUGCCCUUACGGGUGGCGAGUGGCGGACGGGUGAGGAAUACAUCGGAAUCUACUUUUUCGUGGGGGAUAACGUAGGGAAACUUACGCUAAUACCGCAUACGACCUACGGGUGAAAGCGGGGGAUCUUCGGACCUUGCGCGAUUGAAUGAGCCGAUGUCGGAUUAGCUAGUUGGCGGGGUAAAGGCCCACCAAGGCGACGAUCCGUAGCUGGUCUGAGAGGAUGAUCAGCCACACUGGAACUGAGACACGGGCCAGACACCUACGGGAGGCAGCAGUGGGGAAUAUUGGACAAUGGGCGCAAGCCUGAUCCAGCCAUACCGCGUGGGUGAAGAAGGCCUUCGGGUUGUACAGCCCUUUUGUUGGGAAAGAAAAGCAGCAGGUUAAUACCCCGCUGUUCUGACGGUACCCAAAGAAUAAGCACCGGCUAACUUCGUG
rnacentral:rRNA from 1 species